GUGGGGAAUAUUGCACAAUGGGGGAAACCCUGAUGCAGCAACGCCGCGUGAGUGAUGACGGUCUUCGGAUUGUAAAGCUCUGUCUUUGGGGACGAUAAUGACGGUACCCAAGGAGGAAGCCACGGCUAACUACGUGCCAGCAGCCGCGGUAAUACGUAGGUGGCGAGCGUUGUCCGGAUUUACUGGGCGUAAAGGGAGCGUAGGCGGAUUCUUAAGUGGGAUGUGAAAUACCCGGGCUUAACCUGGGUGCUGCAUUCCAAACUGGGAAUCUAGAGUGCAGGAGGGGAGAGUGGAAUUCCUAGUGUAGCGGUGAAAUGCGUAGAGAUUAGGAAGAACACCAGUGGCGAAGGCGACUCUCUGGACUGUAACUGACGCUGAGGCUCGAAAGCGUGGGGAGCAAACAGGAUUAGAUACCCUGGUAGUCC
rnacentral:rRNA from 1 species